rnacentral:rRNA from 1 species
GAUGAACGCUGGCGGCGUGCCUAGUACAUGCAAGUCGAGCGAACGGACGAGAAGCUUGCUUCUCUGAUGUUAGCGGCGGACGGGUGAGUAACACGUGGAUAACCUACCUAUAAGACUGGGAUAACUUCGGGAAACCGGAGCUAAUACCGGAUAAUAUUUUGAACCGCAUGGUUCAAAAGUGAAAGACGGUCUUGCUGUCACUUAUAGAUGGAUCCGCGCUGCAUUAGCUAGUUGGUAAGGUAACGGCUUACCAAGGGAACGAUGCAUAGCCGACCUGAGAGGGGGAUCGGCAAACCUGGAACUGAGACACGGUCCAGACUCCUACGGGAGGCAGCAGUGGGGAAUCUGCCGCAAUGGGCGAAAGCCUAACGGAGCAACGCGGCGUGGGUGAUGAAGGUCUUCGGAUCGUAAAACUCUGUUAUUAGAGAGAACAUAUGUGUAAGUAACUGUGCACAUCUUGACGGUACCUAAUCAGAAAGCCACGGCUAACUACGUG